AGCGAACGCUGGCGGCAGGCUUAACACAUGCAAGUCGAACGGGCAUCUUCGGAUGUCAGUGGCAGACGGGUGAGUAACACGUGGGAACGUACCCUUCGGUUCGGAAUAACUCAGGGAAACUUGAGCUAAUACCGGAUACGCCCUUUUGGGGAAAGGUUUACUGCCGAAGGAUCGGCCCGCGUCUGAUUAGCUUGUUGGUGGGGUAACGGCCUACCAAGGCGACGAUCAGUAGCUGGUCUGAGAGGAUGAUCAGCCACACUGGGACUGAGACGCGGCCCAGACUCCUACGGGAAGCAGCAGUGGGGAAUAUUGGACAAUGGGCGCAAGCCUGAUCCAGCCAUGCCGCGUGAGUGAUGAAGGCCUUAGGGUUGUAAAGCUCUUUUGUCCGGGACGAUAAUGACGGUACCGGAAGAAUAAGCCCCGGCUAACUUCGUG
rnacentral:rRNA from 1 species